GCCUGGCUGGCUCAGUUGGUAGAACAUGAGACUAUUAAUCUCAGGGUCGUGAGUUCAAGCCCCAUGUCGGGUG
rnacentral:tRNA from 1 species